GAGAAGAACGCAGCGAAAUGCGAUAAGUAGUGUGAAUUGCAGAAUUCAGUGAAUCAUCGAAUCUUUGAACGCACAUUGCGCCCCUUGGUAUUCCAUGGGGCAUGCCUGUUCGAGCGUCAUUUGUACCUUCAAGCUUUGCUUGGUGUUGGGUGUUUGUCUCGCCUUUGCGUGUAGACUCGCCUUAAAAUAAUUGGCAGCCGGCGUAUUGAUUUCGGAGCGCAGUACAUCUCGCGCUUUGCACUCAUAACGACAGCGUCCAAAAGUACAUUUUACACUCUUGACCUCGGAUCAGGUAGGGAUACCCGCUGAACUUAAGCAUAUCAAUAAGCGGAGGA
rnacentral:misc_RNA from 1 species